rnacentral:lncRNA from 1 species
GAUCAUCCAAGAGCGAGCAACCAUCAUGUUUAAUGAUUUGAUGGAAUUUAGUAUGAAUGUAUGACUGGUGAAUCACUUCUUUUUUUUCUAUGAAGAUUCGGAUAAAAUCGAACUUGUCUAGUAAUGUUUGAUUUUAUUUUUUUUCAUGUUAACUUUCUUGUCUCAAGGAAACUUUUGUUGGUGGAAUCACAAGAUUUCAAGUACUCAAGAAAUGCAGCAAAAUUUGUGCCUUUGUAAAGACUUGGAUUUGUUUCACUAAUUAAUUUAGGUGAUGGCUUUAUUAUGCUAUUGAAUGGAAGACUAUGCAAAGAAGCCACUGAAAUUCUUGACUUCAAAGAGUUCACAAGAACUCUGUGUAACACACUUUCGUACUUCCCAUUGCUAAAUAUCUGCAAGAAAAUAAAAUAAAAAAAUCAUGUCAAACUUUGUAAAGACUUGGAUUUGUUUCACUAAUUAAUUUAGGUGAUGGCUUUAUUAUGCUAUUGAAUGGAAGACUAUGCAAAGAAGCCA